UCCAGCAGCUAUGAAGUCAAACUCGGGGUGGGGUUUUGAUCUCCACGUGGGUUCAUAAGUUCAGGCUCAGCUGUUACACAGGCACUGGGAUCGCUGCUCUGCCGUGAGUGGGGGGGCGUGGGGGACAAGGCAAAAGACCCCAAAAGACGCAUAGCCAGACAGGCAACAUGCAAGCAUCUCAUCAGCCCGCUCUGCAUCUGAAUUAGCCUUCUCUGCACACAUGGUCACCGCUGCCGAACCCGAGGCAACUUGGUUCUUGGGCACGAGUUCUUGUCCUGUCUUUUGUUGUGUGUUUUCUUCUUCUUUCUCUUGUGCCGCACUGUCAAGAAAGGGGCAGCUGAGCGCGCGGGUGCAACGGCCCCACGCGGGCCGGGACAGAGCCUGCGCCUCGCGUGGGGGCACGCUCCCGAUCACACACGCGCAGAACCCGACGGUCCUGACCGGCCGCAGCACCCCCACAGCGCCCUCCCCCUCGCCACGUCAGAUUUGCAUAUUCGAUGCGGCUUUUUGUUCUGUUCUCUUUCUAUUCGGCCCCAUUUAUUUCUAUUUAUGUUCUAUUUCCAUUUCUAUUCCUUUUCUUUUCCUGUUUCUUCUCUGUUUCUUUUCCCGGCAGCCCGGGCGGCCGCUGCUCUUCUCAUUUGCAUGUCCCCGCCCUUGGGGGGGGCAGCAGCGCCCCGGUCGAGGAGCAUCACUGCGCAUGCGCGAAGCCGUGGCUGCAGUACCGAAACCGGCCACCAGGCGGCAGCACCGGAAAAAAAAACCGAAAUGGCUGAAGCAGAAACCCCGAGGAGGGACAGAAAUGGGAACAAUUGCAAACACCAGCGCAGGAGACAACCCCAGCGAGGCUGCGGGACAGGCUCGUGCCACCAGCAGGAUCUGCACUCACACAUCUGCCACCACAGCUCCGGCCCUCGCGACGCCGACGCCGCCGCUGCUGCUGCUGCUGCUGCUGCUGCUGCUGCUGCUGCUGCUGCUGGGUCGGUCGGUAAAGCUGAAAGCGUGCAGUUCCAGAGAGUGACAUUAAAAAGUAAAGAACCAGCCACAGCCAUUCACUGACACAAACCUCAUGAGGUUUGACAAGAGGUGCAACUGUCAGCCUGCUUUUUCCUUCAAGGACAGGAGUCAGUUCUGUUGAUCAAAGAACAACUCUGAUCUCACCUGCCUGCGCUUCUGCCCCACACCCAGACUGGGGCCCUGCAGGAAACUCGGGCAGCUCUCAGCUUGUCCCGCAGCAGUGGCAGCGCGUCAGGCAUCAAACCCAGACCUCGGGCCUGAGUGCGCAGAGGGGAACGCUGGGGGCCAUGGGGACGGUCACUGCAGUGAGCCCAACCAGAAGACUAGUGAACGGUUGAGGAGUCAGUGAUCGAUAUAACAGUUAACCUGAGAAGGCACAGGCCUCUGCUGUGCUGCGCUGCAUGUAGAGCUUGGCCUUCAGGUGUGCGUUGUGCUGUGCAUACGCUUGGUCACAGCACAAACUUAGCUGACUUACUGUGCCAAAGGAGCCUGUAGGCAAUUCCUCCUUGGCACUGGUGAUGACGUGUAUUUGUUUUUAUCUUACAUUGAAGCAGCAUGUUCUCAAGUGAACGUUCUCUUGUUUGACAGUAAAAGGACGAGUAGAAUCAUUUGCUUGCAAGAAAAUCCCGUAAGAGCUCUGAAGACGUCAGCAGAUCCUCCCCAUAGACAAGAGCUGCACUGCGGGCUGAGCCUCCUCUGGAGGUCUCUGAUUCUGCACCAUGUGAUGUUCCCAGCAUCUGAAGGAAUGUGAGAUUAUACCAUGCUCUUUUUCCUUCUAGUGCUAGCUUCAAUAAAUGGAAUUUUUAUCAAUAA